rnacentral:rRNA from 1 species
GACGAACGCUGGCGGCGUGCCUAAUACAUGCAAGUUGAGCGCUGAAGGUUGGUACUUGUACCGACUGGAUGAGCAGCGAACGGGUGAGUAACGCGUGGGGAAUCUGCCUUUGAGCGGGGGACAACAUUUGGAAACGAAUGCUAAUACCGCAUAAAAACUUUAAACACAAGUUUUAAGUUUGAAAGAUGCAAUUGCAUCACUCAAAGAUGAUCCCGCGUUGUAUUAGCUAGUUGGUGAGGUAAAGGCCCACCAAGGCGAUGAUACAUAGCCGACCUGAGAGGGUGAUCGGCCACAUUGGGACUGAGACACGGCCCAAACUCCUACGGGAGGCAGCAGUAGGGAAUCUUCGGCAAUGGACGAAAGUCUGACCGAGCAACGCCGCGUGAGUGAAGAAGGUUUUCGGAUCGUAAAACUCUGUUGGUAGAGAAGAACGUUGGUGAGAGUGGAAAGCUCAUCAAGUGACGGUAACUACACAGAAAGGGACGGCUAACUACGUG